GACUAGAAGAUAGAUAAUAGUGCUGGAUGGUUUCGGAAGACACAACAUUAUGCACGACUCUUGGGAAUGAAAAUGGAAGUGCAAAGGAUGGAACUGAACACGAACAACCUCAAUCACACAGAAACACAAGAACUCUAGGACAAAUGUCAAAUUGCCCAUCAAUUGUGAUAGAGGUGAAACAGAGCAGGAACAACCGAACAAGGGAUACAUCUAGCUCAUAGUAAUGAAGAUAGCCCCAAAGCGAUUAAGUGAAACCUUUAGCAAAAAAAAACACUGGUUUAACAAACAGCUUUUGGAAAUAGAAUAUGGUAGUGCCAAAGUUGGACACCCUUGGGGAAUAAAGAUGGCACAUUGGAAAUAAAGAAACAUACAUGACAAUGCCAAAAAAUAUAGAAUAUUCUAGGUGGCAAAAAACCUUCAAAUUGCAUUAGAAAGACUGAAAAAUGGCAAAGAAGGGAUCUGAAAUUUUUUCCUGAGACAGUCAUCAAAGGUGGCCUCAGCCACGUGCCGGUCCGUGAUGCUGGCAGCAAAGGCUGUUUCCGAAAUUUUAUUGGCUUGAUUGCCGAAGGGAAAUGAGUCCAGUGGUGUUGGCAGUAAGGUGAUUGGACCACUAGAGAAGGAGAUCUGGCUGAAAAACUGACUGUGAGAUCUGGCAGUUAGUCACCAGUACUCCAGUGAUGGGUUCUUUGGUGAUAGGGCGUGACAGCAUCUUGAAGAAUUUGGUUGUGUUGAUUUUCAAAAAACCACUGGAACGGGUUGGAAAUUGGAAUAAGAAUUGGCCGUUAUGAUGAGUAGAAAAUCUCGGGAAAAAAA